rnacentral:rRNA from 1 species
UUCUGGCUCAGGAUGAACGCUAGCUACAGGCUUAACACAUGCAAGUCGAGGGGCAGCGAGAGGAAAGCUUGCUUCCUGUCGGCGACCGGCGCACGGGUGAGUAACGCGUAUCCAACCUUCCCCAUAGUAGAGGAUAGCCCGGCGAAAGUCGGAUUAAUACUCUAUGUUGUGUCAUGAGGACAUCUGAAUAACACUAAAGAUUUAUCGCUAUGGGAUGGGGAUGCGUCUGAUUAGGUAGUCGGCGGGGUAACGGCCCACCGAGCCGACGAUCAGUAGGGGUUCUGAGAGGAAGGUCCCCACAUUGGUACUGAGACACGGACCAAACUCCUACGGGAGGCAGCAGUGAGGAAUAUUGGUCAAUGGACGAGAGUCUGAACCAGCCAAGUAGCGUGCAGGAAUGACUGCCCUAUGGGUUGUAAACUGCUUUUAUGCGGGAAUAAAGUCAGGUACGUGUACCUGUUUGUAUGUACCGCAUGAAUAAGGACCGGCUAAUUCCGUGCCAGCCGCUGC